rnacentral:lncRNA from 1 species
GUUCAUUGUUCAUUUGUUCAUUGUUCACUGCCCACUGUUCACUGUUCACUGUCCAUUGUUCACUGCCCAUUUAUUUAUUUUUUUUUUCACAAAUUUCAAAUAUUAUCACUCUUCAGGCAUUUUUUUUUUUUUUUUUUUUUGUAUAUUCAAAAUGUACACAUGAAAAAAGUUUUUUAUGUUCAUACGCCCAUACAUACGUAAGUGUUUGCAUAUGCAUAUAUGAUAUCCACUUCAUAAUUAAUAAUGAAUAAAAAUGGGACGGAACUUGUGAUUGAAAAUUUUUGUGUUUAUUGCAAUUCAAACAACACAUUCUCAUAUCUUGAAAGUUCCCAGUACAAUGAUAAUAUUUUAAAAAGAAAACAAAUUAAAAAUGAAUACGAAAAAAAGGUUAGUGAAAAAACGGUAAAUUAUAAAUGGGUAAAAAAUUUGUCAAGUAAAGAAUGUUAUGAACGAAUUAUAAAAAACUUACAAAAAAGUAAUAACUUGAAGUGUACUCAAGACAGACGUCAUAAAGAUAAUAAUAAGUUUUGUUACGAUAAUAAGGACAAGUUAAAUAAAGACUGUUCCUACUUAUCAUCAAUUAACAUAAAUAAUGAAUCCUUUUUUGUGGGGGGGAUUAAUAAUAAUAAAUUUUUUAAAAACGAAAAAUAUAUAAAAGCUGCUUUAAAAAAAUGUGAAAAAAAACAAAAAAAAUAUAAACCUAAAAACUACUCAGAGUUUAUAAAAAAAAAUACGAAAAGCGGUAACGAUUACAAUUUAAAUGACGUACGUGUUCAGGAUGAAUUGGAAAGUUGUAAAUUAAUAAAAUUGGAAGAAAGUAAAGCGGAAACAAAUGGGGGCACAAAUGGGGGUACAGACGGAGGCACAAAUGGAGACGCCACGUAUAACAUAUACGAAUACCUAUUUAAUGCUUGUGUGCGGAAAAAAUAUUACAAAAGAAUAGGAAAAAUUUGGUUUGGCCGUUUUUUAAAAAAAAAUGGACCAUUACAUAAACAGAUAGCAAAACAUUUGAUAAAUUUGUUAAUCAUAAAAAGUUUUAUAAUUUUUGAUUUUGAGUUUUGGAAUUUCUUUUACUUUAAAAAUAUGACUAACCAUUUUAAUAGUAACUUACAUUUUUUUGUUGGUAAGGCAGGAAAUGAAAAAAGUAUUUUUUUAAAAGAUAUAUUUACAUCAUUUCCUUUUCAUUAUCCGAGUGAUAUUAUUCACGUUGUUGACAUUAUUGAGUACGAUAAACAUGACCUAAUAGUUAAUGAUUACAAAUAUAUUGUACACAACUCUUUUGCUAUUUUAAAUAAAAAAGAAAACGAUACAACGAACAAGGGGUUUUACUCCAUUUUUAAUUAUACAACUGUGGAUGACACAAAUGGAAAAAAUGCAAAAACAAUAAAAAAUAUAGACAAACCAAAUUUUUUAUUUAAAAUGUUUUACUUAACCAAAAUAAAAAAAAAGCUUUAUCAUUUAUUCAUGGCGAGAAUAAAUGAACUA